AGGACGAACGCUGGCGGCGUGCUUAACACAUGCAAGUCGAACGGAAAGGCCUGCAGCUUGCUGCGGGUACUCGAGUGGCGAACGGGUGAGUAACACGUGGGUGAUCUGCCUUGCACUUCGGGAUAAGCUUGGGAAACUGGGUCUAAUACCGGAUAGGACAGCUGUUUAGUGUCAGUUGUGGAAAGUUUUUUCGGUGCAAGAUGAGCUCGCGGCCUAUCAGCUUGUUGGUGGGGUAAUGGCCUACCAAGGCGUCGACGGGUAGCCGGCCUGAGAGGGUGUACGGCCACAUUGGGACUGAGAUACGGCCCAGACUCCUACGGGAGGCAGCGAUGGGGAAUAUUGCACAAUGGGCGGAAGCCUGAUGCAGCGACGCCGCGUGGGGGAUGAAGGCCUUCGGGUUGUAAACUCCUUUCGACAGGGACGAAGCGUAAGUGACGGUACCUGUAUAAGAAGCACAGGCUAACUACGUGCCAGCAGCCGCGGUAAUACGUAGGGUGCGAGCGUUGUCCGGAAUUACUGGGCGUAAAGAGCUCGUAGGUGGUUUGUCGCGUCGUCUGUGAAAUUCCGGGGCUUAACUCCGGGCGUGCAGGCGAUACGGGCUGACUUGAGUGCUGUAGGGGAGACUGGAAUUCCUGGUGUAGCGGUGAAAUGCGCAGAUAUCAGGAGGAACACCGAUGGCGAAGGCAGGUCUCUGGGCAGUAACUGACGCUGAGGAGCGAAAGCAUGGGUAGCGAACAGGAUUAGAUACCCUGGUAGUCCAUGCCGUAAACGGUGGGCGCUAGGUGUAGGGGGCUUCCACGUCUUCUGUGCCGUAGCUAACGCAUUAAGCGCCCCGCCUGGGGAGUACGGCCGCAAGGCUA
rnacentral:rRNA from 1 species